UAGCGAUAAACGACGAUAAAAACAUCUACAAAAUGCAUUCAGUGCUAGUUCCGCACGUUGUUGCAUUUCUGCAACAUACAUCCGCGAGGCGAGCCGUCCAGUGCUGCCAUCUGUACUCAGGCGGCGAAACUGCUCUCUAAAAAGCGUGACAGCCACCACGUGGACGCUCAACAAGUGACACAGAGCAGACACAAUGGACCCCAAACGGUUUUACAGCCGUGGAAUUCCUUCCGACAGUGAGGACAGCGAGCUCUCCGGCAGUGACGAUGACUCUGAUUAUGUCCAACCCCCUGCAAAAUGUAGUGCCAGUUCAAGCGAGGCGAGUACAAGCUCUGACGAAGAGGAAGCUCCCGCAAGCCAACCAGCUGAUCAGUCAUCAACUCAAUCUAAGAGAAGAAUUAUCUGGAAGAAUGCAAGCCUGAUGCGGGAUCCUGAAACAGUGAAGUUCACUGGACAAAAUGAGCUUCCGCAGGAAGUUUCAGAGUUGGAAACACCUUUCCAAUACUUCAAGUUCAUCUUUCCAGGCGCUCUUAUUUCGCUUAUUGCAAAUGAGAGCAAUUUGUACUCAGUCCAGAAGGAUGCCAGUAAGCCCCUCUGCACCAGUGCCGAGGAGAUUGAAGUUUUUCUAGGCACCUGCAUGUGGAUGUCUAUAAUUCAGCUGAAGAACACUAGGUGGUACUGGAGUGAAGCUACCAGAGUAAGCCAAGUAGCUGACCACCUCACGGUGACACGCUUCGAACAGUUGAAGCACAACCUUCACUUUGUGGACAACAGCUCUCUCGGCCCAAGAGAUGAUCCUGAUAGAGACCGGCUUGCAAA